GAUUUUGAUUAUGAGCAGAGGAAAGAAAGUGGUGCACCAUAAAGAAAUUGCUUGUACCACAAAGAAAGUGCCUGUAAGUGUUUGACUGUUUCUAUUUUCUUACGAGAACAUGAUACAGUAAAGAUAUGAGGAGUUAUUCAAAAGCAUCUAGAUUCUCCAACUAAGCGCCAACCUCUUCUUACUCGUCUUUGCCUUGGAGCAAGAGUCGUCAACCUCAAUUUUAGAUGCCUUCGUCGCUUGUUCAUGUCCAAAUCCUACUCCUAUGGAGCAAGCAUGGGACAUUAUUUGCUCGCUGGGCAAGGAUUUUUAUAGACUAUUAUCCUGUGACUGUCUCCCUUUCUAGAUACAUAUUCUGC
rnacentral:misc_RNA from 1 species